AUUCGUAAAUUUAUUUUUUGGUUCGUUAGAAAAAAAAACAAUUUAAAAAUAAAAUCUUUACCAGGUUGUAAUGAAGACUACUCUAUGUUACCGGGAUUCGAAGUCAACCUAUCGUGUCAAGUGGGAUAACUAUGAGAAAAACCUUCACAAUGAUAGAAAAACCUUUUUUCCAAAAUUCUUAAUUCUGAAAAUUAGCAGAUAGAUAUUUUCAGCACAUGCUGGAAUGUUCAUUUCUUGAUUUUUUAUUUUUUUUUUUCCACGUCAAAUACAAUUAUUGAUCACAGCUGGUCUGUUCGAUGAAACAUCUUUCUCUCUCAUACCCAAUUUCCUCCAAGAGAUAAGAUGGAGACAAGUGGACCAAUCCUGUCAGACAACAAGAUUCUGACUCGGUGUAUGAUUUUUUUUAUUUUUAAAAAUAAUUUUUGAUAUUAAUGUAUUAAAAUAAUUUAAAAUUAUUAAUUUUAAAAAAAUUAAAUUAAAAAAACAAAAACAAAAAAAACACUUAUCUUGUAAGAAAAAGGAGGGAGAAAAACAAGGAAAAAGGUUGUGCAAGUACAAUAUUGACCCCACCAUAAAAUAUAAUUAUAUUCACAUGGGCAGCGCCACCAUCUUGAUUUUUUGGUUUGUGGAGUCAGUUUUUUUUUAAUUAAAAUAUAAAAAAUAUGGAUUUAAAAUGAAUUUCUUUCAUUUCAAAACAAUAUUCCAAGUCAAUGAGCUGUCAUGUUAACGUUUAAGCUGGGACAAGGUCCACGUAGCUUUGUUACCAAACCCUCAAUGUUUACUAGUUGUUUUGAAAGACGUGUUGUUGGGGCUUGUUUAGUAUUAUGGUUAAAAUAUUAUUUAUUUAAAUUUUAUAUUUUUUCUUAAAAUUAUAUUAUUUUUAAAUUAUUUUAUUAUUUUGAUAUAUUUAUAAAAAAAAACAUUUUGAAUGUAUUGAUUUUUUAUUUUUUUUAAGUGCAAGCUCGUUCGUGUCUUUUUAUAGUUCGGCUCAGGUGAAAAAAAGAGGAAUAAGCAAUCAUAAAGAAAAAUGCUGCAAUCAUACGAGAGUGUCGAGCACACAGAAGCCCGCAUGAGAAUCCACACUGUAACAUACACAGGAAGAACGCUCGCAAAUCACCUUACUUGGCAGUGAAAAUAAACAUAGAUUUGCUUGGGAGGAGGAGCAAAAUCGAGAGGAAGAGGAGAGGUGGAUGUUUUUCUUUAUCUAGAGAAACUCAUGGUAAAGGAGAGCUGUCAAAGAAAAUACAGAUGGAGGACAACUGUUCUUUCAUGUUCAGACAACCAGCCAUGGACUCGCGAACAGAGUUUCAAGUUGAACAGUGACAAAAUUCAAUUAUAAAGCCAAAUUGCUUGAGAUACUAUUGGAGAUGCCCUCAUGUUAGGUCUCUGAAAUUGCUAUUAAUGCAUAAUUAGAUUUCCGAAGCA